rnacentral:rRNA from 1 species
UACGGGGGGGGUAAGCGUUGGUCGGAAUUACUGGGCGUAAAGGGCGCGUAGGCGGCCUGCUAAGUCGAACGUGAAAUCCCCGGGCUCAACCCGGGAACUGCGUCCGAGACUGGCAGGCUCGAAUCCGGGAGAGGGAUGUGGAAUUCCCAGUGUAGCGGUGAAAUGCGUAGAUAUUGGGAGGAACAUCGGUGGCGAAGGCGGCUACCUGGACGGGUACUGACGCUGAUGCGCGAAAGCUAGGGGAGCAAACAGG